rnacentral:rRNA from 1 species
CAUUAUGCCUAGCCCUAAAUAUUGAUAGAGAACUACACCCACUAUCCGCCCGGGUACUACGAGCAUCAGCUUAAAACCCAAAGGACUUGGCGGUGCUUUAGAUCCACCUAGAGGAGCCUGUUCUAGAACCGAUAACCCCCGUUCAACCUCACCCUUCCUUGUUUACCCCGCCUAUAUACCACCGUCGUCAGCUUACCCUGUGAAGGCCCAACAGUAAGCAGAAUUGGCACACCCCAAAACGUCAGGUCGAGGUGUAGCGCAUGGAAGGGGAAGAAAUGGGCUACAUUCACUGCAUCAGUGAAUACGGAUAGUGCAUUGAAACAUGCACUUGAAGGAGGAUUUAGCAGUAAGUAGAAAGCAGAGUGUUCCACUGAAAAUGGCCCUGAAGCGCGCACACACCGCCCGUCACUCUCCCCGAGCUCCCCAAAACCCAACUAACUAAAACCAGCACUAGCAAUUAGGGGAGGCAAGUCGUAA